rnacentral:lncRNA from 1 species
CAACUCGCUUCCCUCACACGCCUCUGUCUUCCUCUGGCCAGAUUCCAGAUCCCGCUCUCUCUGGCAGUACCGAAGAGCAGUCCUCCAGGACACUUGCCGUGCACAAGAUUCCUUCUUGUAUGUGAAUAUGACCUGGUUUCUGUUUGUGUGUGCGGCUAAAACAUCCAAACGAGAUCUGUUGCUUUCAAAGUUUAUUCCGAACUUUUUUUUUUCCUUUCAGCAAGUAAUCUCCGGCAGCGUUAGCCAACAAUUCAUCUAUUAAUAUCAGAAAAUAAAACCAGCUAUUAAGAUGCAGCGGGCGGUUAGGAGUGUGCAGCAGCAUCCGUCCCUCCACAGGCCUCUAUUUGCAUUGUAAAUUGCUUCAUUCUCACGCAAGACUCUUUAGCCUCCCUCUAUAGAGAUGUAUAAAGCCAACGGCAAUUUCCAGCGCAGGUUAAGGAGGAAGGAAAAAAAAUAUCCCAUUCUAUAGAAGAGGUGACAGCUGAUUCAGGGAUCUGCUCCUGAUCCUUUUGGGUUAGGCACCAUGAGCUUUUUACCAAGCGGUGGCAGCUUGAUUGCACAUAUCUUGUGCGUGUGUGUUUUAGGGGGAAGAUCCUCGAUUUCACAGGGCUUCUAGGCUGGGGAAGAGAAGAUGCCGUCUUGCUGGUGUGCUGCUGCCCCCGGUCUGAAAGAAGGAGAAAAGGGCCAUCAUUGGAGGGGCUUUCACAGCCAAAACGUGGACCAGCCCGGCAAGGUCAAAGGUUCGAGACCGCGGGAGACCAAGGUCUCCAGAUGGCUGAAACAUGAAUUGAAACAUCCUGGUUUUCUUGGGAAUAAACAAUCUCUGCUUAAGUCAGAAGUGAAAAGUUAUGAUUUUCCACAUAUUUGGAUCAGACUCAUGCUAUUCCAUAAAUGCAAAUAAUCAGCUUGGAAGAAGAGGGACUCUUAAAAAACAUUAGGGAUUUGAACACUAUAACCUGCCAUACAAAAGACGAAGGAGAGUUCUUCCAUGUAAGAAUUUCAAGACUGGAACAAAGUCAUAUUUUCUAAAUGUUUAAGGAACUAGAUUUCCAGGCCUUUCAAACAAUGGGAAUCCCUAGAUAAAUAUCUAAUCCAUUAGAAAGAUGCAAAUAGUUUACUGUAAGGCCACUGCACGGUGAGAUGUGCAUUCAUAUCUAUGGCUCCUGAUUGGCUAUUUCCUUCAGUAAAUCAAUGAAUAAUGUAAAACCUGAUUGCUGUAAAGUGGUGGAUUUUUUUAUUCCCUUCCCCCAUUCCUCCAUGACUCAAUAUAUUAAAGAAGUCUUACUCUCUCGAAAAUAGGUUGCGUUUCUUUUAUGAUUUUUUUUAAUGCUUAUUGUUAUUUUGGAGUAGUGGGGUGGGGCUACUGGUUUUGCAAAAUGAAAGUACUCCACUGGUUCAAUUAUGCUGACUAUGGGAGCUCCUUUCCCGAGACAGGGCCCUAAUUACUUGUGGCAAGGUGGGGAAGAAGGGUGCUGGGAAGAGUUGGGCACCAGAAGAGGGAGGAAACUGGAUCCGACCCUGCCAUUCUGGGCCCAAGGCAGCCACGGCUCCAAAAGAGCCUCCGGCCAUGGCCGUGACUUGACAGGGCCUCCGGUCUAACUUCUGAUCAAUACCACUGCUGCCCUGACCCCAUAAGACAGUCCCCCAUUCAAGCAGCGCCGAUACAUUUGCAAGAGAAAACGCCGCAGACACCUAUGCAAAUACAGUUCCCACCUCCCCGUGUUCCCUCAGACAAUUCCAGGCCACCGAAGGAAGGUCUUGCCUUCCUCCGCGGGGUCUGGGCUCCAGGCAAACUGCAGGGACCGGGAUCCGCUCAGAUACCAGAAGCAUCUGAAGCUGAAAUGCUCCAAGUCCCAAUAACUAACCAUGGUGGCUGUUAUCUUGAUGAAUCUGAACUUAGGAUAA